ACCCUCACUUUACUAACGAAAAGUGUGAGCAACGAAUCCGAUUUCUUAGUUCAAAAGGCAUUCGCACACCGAGCUUUCCCCCGUAAUAACACGAGAACGGACUUCACUUCUUCUAUUACAUCAGGAGAGUUAACUUCUUCUUCUACGACAUCAAGAGGGUCAACUCAACUUCUUCUUCUACUACAUUACUACAUUCAACUGUAAGGGACUUAUUCUACUACGACAGAACAUUCAGUGCAUCUCUAUCGGGUCUUCAUCCGUCAAAUAUUCGUCUACGACAUUUAUAUCACACGUAACAAGCAGUACCAGCAACAGCAGCAGCAGCAACAGCAGCAGCUGCAGCAGCAGCUGCAGCAGCAGCUACAGCAGCAGCUACAGCAGCAACAGCAGCAGCAGCUACAGCAGCAACAGCAGCAGCAGCUACAGCAGCAACAGCAGGAACAGCAGCAGGAGCUGCAGCAGGAGCAGCAGGAGCUGCAGGAGCAGGAGGAGCUGCAGGAGCAGGAGGAGCUGCAGGAGCAGGAGGAGCUGCAGGAGCAGGAGGAGCUGCAGCAGCAGCUACAGCAGCAACAGCAGCAGCAGCUGCAGCAGCAACAGCAACAGCACCCGUACCCGUUCCCGCACCAGCGCCCAGUCCAGCACCAGCACCCGCUCCAGCAGCAGCACUCGUACUCUUACCAGCACCAACACCUGCAGCAGCACCUGCAGCAGCACCUGAACCAGCACCUGAACCAGCACUUGAACCAGCACAUUCACCAGCUCCUGCACCAGAACCAGCACCAGAACCAGCACCAGCACUUGGACCAGCACCAGCACUUGGACCAGCACUCGCACCAGCAUUUGCACCAGCACCCGCAGCAGCACCCGCAGCAGCACCCGCAGCAGCACCCGCAGCAGCACCUGCGCCAGCACCAAUGCACCAGCAAAUGCUCCAGCACCACCACCAUCACCACCACCCGUUCCAGCACCACCACCACCACCCGUUCCAGCACCACCAGCAGCAGCAGCAGCACCAGCACCACCAUCAGUAGCAGCACCAGUACUACCACCAGCAAUGGCACCAGCACCACCAUCACCAGCACCACCAUCAUCAGCACCAGCACCAGCACCAGCAUCAGCACCAGCACCAGCACCAGCGCACCACCACCAGCACCAAUGCACCUGUACACCAGUGCACCAGGAUCAAUGCACUUGUACACCAGUGCACCAGGACCAAUGCACCUGCACACCGGUGCACCAGCACCAAUGCCCCAGCAAACCGGCGCACCAACAUCAAUGCACCUGCACACUGGUGCACCAG
rnacentral:misc_RNA from 1 species